AUUUGAAAUCUCCGACGCUUGCGUCGGCGAGUUGUAGUUGCGAGAAGCACUUUCUCGGCGGAUCGGAUGCGCCUAAGUUGCUUGGAACAGUACGUCGCAGAGGGUGACAACCCCGUCUGUGGCGCGUCCGGCCGCUCACGAUGUGCUUUCGAAGAGUCGGGUUGUUUGGGAAUGCAGCCCAAAACGGGUGGUAAACUCCAUCUAAAGCUAAAUACUGACGUGAGACCGAUAGCGAACAAGUACCGUGAGGGAAAGAUGAAAAGAACUUUGAAAAGAGAGUUAAAAAGUACGUGAAACCGUUGAAAGGGAAACGAAUGGACUCAGCAAUGCGCCGCUCGAGAUUCAGCCGGCCGGCGGAGUCGGCCCGGGGUUUGCGGAUCCGAACGGACCGCGGUCUCGGGCACGUCUCCGUCGACCGUCGCACUUCUCUUGGGCGCGCGUCAACGUCGGUCGGUUCUGGGUCUGAAGGGUUCCGGGAAGGUGAGUGCGCGCUUCUCUCCUCGGGGAGUCGUGCGUUCCGUUAUAGCCCGGUUCUCGGAUUGGCUCGGAGUCGACCGAGGCGGUCGCAGCGCAUGCCUCUUCUGGCUAGGGUCCCGUCUUUCCGGCCGGUCGUCGACCGCGGUGGACUGCUUGCAGUGCUCCGCGACUGCUGCCGGUCGUUGGGGCGGUGAUCU
rnacentral:rRNA from 1 species